GAAUAUUGCGCAAUGGAGGAAACUCUGACGCAGCGACGCCGCGUGAGCGAUGAAGGUCUUCGGAUCGUAAAGCUCUGUCCUUGGGGAAGAAGAUCGAAAGAUUUGACGGUACCCGAGGAGGCAGCCCCGGCUAACUACGUGCCAGCAGCCGCGGUAAUACGUAGGGGGCAAGCGUUGUCCGGAAUUAGUGGGCGUAAAGGGUGCGUAGGCGGCUUUUUAAGUCAGAUGUGAAAGACCACGGCUUAACCGUGGGGUUGCAUUUGAAACUGGAAGGCUUGAGUAUCGGAGAGGGUAGUGGAAUUCCCAGUGUAGCGGUGAAAUGCGUAGAUAUUGGGAGGAACACCAGUGGCGAAGGCGACUACCUGGACGAAAACUGACGCUGAUGCACGAAAGCUAGGGGAGCAAACAGG
rnacentral:rRNA from 1 species